UACGGGGGGGGCAAGCGUUGUUCGGAAUUACUGGGCGUAAAGGGUUCGUAGGCGGCUUUGUAAGUUAGAGGUGAAAGCCCGGGGCUCAACUCCGGAACUGCCUUUAAGACUGCAUCGCUUGAAUCCGGGAGAGGUGAGUGGAAUUCCGAGUGUAGAGGUGAAAUUCGUAGAUAUUAGGAAGAACACCAGUGGCGAAGGCGGCUCACUGGUCCGGUACUGACGCUGAGGUGCGAAAGCGUGGGGAGCAAACAGG
rnacentral:rRNA from 1 species